rnacentral:misc_RNA from 1 species
AACGCACAUUGCGCCUCUUGUGACAUUGAGGCAUGCCUGUCUGAGCGUCAUUUAAACAAAUAAACCCGUAUGGGUUUGUCUUGAGCCUCGCCCCCGUGGCGCCGCUUCAAACCGAUCGGUCUAAUGAGCGGACGAGAUCCAUUAGGACUGACCGUUCUGCGACCUUAAAAUGACUGAUUUGACCUCAGAUCAGGUAGGGACACCGCCUGAACUUAA